AGCGUCAUCCUACGGGAGCAGCAGUGGGGAAUAUUGCACAAUGGGCGCAAGCCUGAUGCAGCGACGCCGCGUGCGGGAUGGAGGCCUUCGGGUUGUAAACCGCUUUUGUUCAAGGGCAAGGCACGGUCUUUGGCCGUGUUGAGUGGAUUGUUCGAAUAAGCACCGGCUAACUACGUGCC
rnacentral:rRNA from 1 species